rnacentral:rRNA from 1 species
UAGGUCUCAGUUCAGAUUGCAGGCUGCAACCCGCCUGCAUGAAGUCGGAAUUGCUAGUAAUCGCGGAUCAGCAUGCCGCGGUGAAUACGUUCCCGGGCCUUGUACACACCGCCCGUCACACCAUGGGAGCCGGUAACACCCGAAGUCAGUAGUCCAACCUCGUGAGGACGCUGCCGAAGGUAGGAUUGGCGACUGGGGUGAAGUCGUAACAAGGUAGC